AUUGAACGCUGGCGGCAGGCCUAACACAUGCAAGUCGAACGAGUGGCGGACGGGUGAGUAAUGCCUGGGAAACUGCCUGAUGGAGGGGGAUAACUACUGGAAACGGUAGCUAAUACCGCAUACCAUCGGAUGUGCCCAGCUGGGAUUAGCUAGUAGGUGGGGUAAAGGCUCACCUAGGCGACGAUCCCUAGCUGGUAUGAGAGGAUGACCAGCCACACGGGAACUGAGACACGGUCCCUACUCCGACGGGAGGCGGCAGUGGGAAAUAUUGCACAAUGGGCGAAAGCCUGAUGCAGCCAUGCCGCGGGUAUGAAGAGGGCCUUCGGGUUUUAAAGUACUUUCAGCGGGGAGUCGUUACCCGCAGAAGAAGCACCGGCUAACUCCGUGCCAGCAGCCGCGGUAAUAC
rnacentral:rRNA from 1 species